AGAGUUUGAUCCUGGCUCAGAACGAACGCUGGCGGCAGGCUUAACACAUGCAAGUCGAGCGCCGUAGCAAUACGGAGCGGCGGACGGGUGCGUAACGCGUGGGAACAUACCCUUUGGUUCGGAAUAACCCAGGGAAACUUGGGCUAAUGCCGGAUAAGCCCCUUGAGCGAUUGAGGGGGAAAGAUUUAUUGCCGAAGGAUUGGCCCGCGUCCGAUUAGCUAGUUGGAGAGGUAACGGCUCACCAAGGCGACGAUCGGUAGCUGGUCUGAGAGGAUGAUCAGCCACACUGGGACUGAGACACGGCCCAGACUCCUACGGGAGGCAGCAGUGGGGAAUAUUGGACAAUGGGCGCAAGCCUGAUCCAGCCAUGCCGCGUGAGUGAUGAAGGCCUUAGGGUUGUAAAGCUCUUUCGCCAGGGACGAUAAUGACGGUACCUGGAGAAGAAGCCCCGGCCAACUUCGUGCCAGCAGCCGCGGUAAUACGAAGGGGGCUAGCGUUGUUCGGAAUCACUGGGCGUAAAGCGCGCGUAGGCGGAUUUUUAAGUCAGGGGUGAAAUCCCGAGGCUCAACCUCGGAACUGCCUUUGAUACUGGGGAUCUGGAGUCCGGGAGAGGUGAGCGGAACUGCGAGUGUAGAGGUGAAAUUCGUAGAUAUUCGCAAGAACACCAGUGGCGAAGGCGGCUCACUGGCCCGGAACUGACGCUGAGGCGCGAAAGCGUGGGGAGCAAACAGGAUUAGAUACCCUCGUAGUCC
rnacentral:rRNA from 1 species